ensembl:lncRNA
CAUAUACCAUGCGCUCAGGACAUAAUCAGUGAUUAAUGCAGAACAAAUUCUAAAAGAAUUCUAAAUCAGCACUGACUUUUAAAUCCAACCUGGACACUCGGUUGGUUCUCCUCCAGCCAUGUCUGAUCAAAACAGAGGACUUCUACCAGACAGGACACGUAUUGCAUUGUCCUGGAGCUGAUGGAGGGGGGAGAGCUGUUUAACAGGGUGAAGGCGGGACAAGGCCUGGAUGAGGCUGUGGCUAAACUCUACUUCUACCAGAUGCUGAUGGCAGUGGAGUACCUCCACAGGAAUGGCAUCAUCCACAGAGAUCUGAAACCCGAGAAUAAUCUAUUGGCUUCUCAGGCAAAGCCCUGUCUCAUUAAGGUCACAGAUUUCAACCAGUCCAAGAUUCUGGAGGGGGAGAACAGCUCAACGCGACCACGGGGCAUGCACCUUACCAAUAGACGAGUCCAACACGAUACACCUGAAGCUCAUUUUAAACCCUUGCACGUGUUUCAAAUGUAAUCUGGUCACCCAGAGAACGAAGAUCACGGCCGACCAUCGCAAUACGACCGCGGGUGCGACCACCAGUGCAUCGCCGAGAACAGCUCAACGCGAGCGGCGAACGAAGAGGGAAAAGCCCCGCGGUCUUUGUUCAAAAGCAUUUCCUUUUUCUUUCCUUUUCUUUAAGUUAAGGGACAUGUAAACUUCUAUAGAAAACUACACCCACACAUGAUGUCGGGUCAAUAGCUCCACAAUCACGCUUUUUCUCUUGAGAAAUCAAAGAAAAAGAAGGAAGACGUUAAGAAAGCAAAGCAGAAGAAGCCUGGCCAGAAGGAAUCUCAGAAGGAGAGACGCGCGGGAGUCGACGAGCAACCUGCUCCUCCUAUGGUGAAGAAGCCCCCAACACGGGAGCCCAUGUCCAGUGAGAGCCGAGGCGGAGCAGUGGAGGGUCAAAGGGCCCCAAGAAGGAAUGCGUUUGAGGAGCGACCGUAUGAGCCAGAACAGUACUACCAGGAAAACUUCGGCCCCAAGGCCGACCUAUUCUCAAACUUUAAAUGGGUAAGAGGAGGAAAAGAAACGCUGGAAAUAACUGGUCCGAAAUGUUUAUAUUUUUAAUAAAAAAAUACGAUUUCAUAAAUUGCACAGAAUUUUAUUAAAGUUAGUCUUUAACUUCAGUCUUUACAAAGACUGAAGUUCAGUGGCCACAGUUUAGACCUUUCACAUUGCUUUGGGAAAUAUCGACAUUUUUGGGUUAGUUUGAAGGCAACUGUUUGCUUGUUGUUGAAGUGAAUGUGUUUAAAUAAAUCUAGUUUACAUUACAAACUGAAGCCCCACUCACCAAGUGUGCCUCAGAAGAAAGUAGGAUUUUUUUUUUUUUCAGCUUUACUGAUCGAUAUCCAUGUGAUCAAUAGCUUUAUUCUCCAUGUUUGCUAAAGGCAAAGACCACUUUAUCAAAUCCCAAUGGGAGCGUCUGGAUCCGCUGCUAAACCACCACAGGAAGACAAAUGAUACGAGACUAAAACACUACUUUGUCCACCUUUCAACUACAAAAUACUCCCAAGAAACCACAGAUUGUUUUUUGUCUCGGACUCAAACUCACGAUCACGGGGCAUGCACCUUACCAAUAGACGAGGUUGUGUAAACAAACAUUAAAAAAAAAAGGAAAAAUAAACUUGAAUACAAACUGAAAAGAAGAACCAUUUCUCUUUGAGUCCCGAACCUUCCCCGUACGGCAAUAGAUUAUCAUCAUGUCCAAUGCCAAUUUUAGGGAAAUCAAAAGAUGAAUAUAACCCUAACCCUAACCCCAUCGCCGAGAACAGCUCAAUGGGACCCUUGCACGUGUUUCAAAUGUAAUCUGGUCACCCAGAGAACAAAGAUCACGGCCGACCAUCGCAAUACGACCGCGGGUGCGACCACCAGUGCAUCGAAGCAGAACACACAGGACAUCAUCGGCUACAAACAGCUUAACGCGACCAAGUGUUUCCCAGGCUACGAUAUGGAGAGGACCCGCAUCAAGCCUUCAUGAGGAGAGAGAAGUCCGGCCAGGUGAGAGUCUGCUCACCUGAAGAGACAGACUCUGAGGAGGAGCAGCUCUGGACCUCUGGAUUGACCGGACACCUGGAUGGCGCCGGGCGACAACGCCUAGGCCCGCACCAUUGUGGGGGCCCCGGGGAGCCCGUCGGCCCACAGCACGGUGAGGCGGGCGCUGGCCUGCGCGGAGCCGGCGCUGUUCUCGGCGAUGCACUGGUAGUCGCUGCCGCGGUCGUAUUGCGAUGGUCCCACCUGCCAAUCUCUGAGUCGAAGUUCUACAAACAAAGAAAAAGAGGGGCAUUUACAAACAAGAAUGUGUUUGCAUUGAAUGUGUGUAACGGAAGCAAAAUGCACCAAAUUGACCAAUUCCUUAUCAUGUGUUUUUGAUACUCACGUAUGUGGCCACGGCUGAACGGAUGUCCGUCAAGCUUGGGGACCCGGGGAGGCCCAUCUCCCCCCAAGCUUGGAGGAGGGACGACAACACCUGAGGCCGAUCAGACACUUGUUAACUCUCUGGGAAGGAAGGCCACACCACAACCAAUCUCGGAAUACGACCUCAGAUCAGACGAGACAACCCGCUGAACUUAAGCAUAUCAGUAAGCGGAGGAAAAUAAAUGCUGGAAAAGGGAACCCUGGUGUCCUGGUUACGGGGGACGAUGGUAACAAAUUUGAUUCAGGGGUCUAGGGUGACUUUACUCAAUGUUUAAUUGAAUUGUCUGUUAAGAAUGAGUACUUUGUCAAAUGUAAUUAUAAUUUGUAACCUCAAACUCUUUUUAUUAAGUUGAUGGAAAAGUGCCCAUAUGCAUCAUGUUUCCCAUCUUCUCUCAGAGCUCUGAAUAUCUAUAUGACUGCAAAACCUGUUAUUACUGAUGUACACCGUCCUUUACUUGAAUUUUUGUGUACUCUUUCUAUAUAUUGUUACGACCCCUCCCUUUCGGCAGCUGAUUACUUCCUGCAGGAGUUGGCUGAAAGGGAGGGUCGUUAGGGCAAGUUGCUCACACCUGGCUAGGCCUCUACCCAAGGUGAUAUAAGCCAGCCUGGUCUCAUUGUCUCUCUCUCUCCUAGGCUCCACGCUGCUACAGGUUGUUGGUUCUUGGUUCUUUUUGAUGGCUUCCUUUUACACUCAACAGCAGCACACACAUCUCACUCAUCCAUGCACUACAUUCACCACUGAUGCCACUACUCUCCACACCUCAUGCUAUUGGUAAAUAUGAUUGUUUAAGUUAUAAUAAAACCUUUUCAUUUAUCACUUUCAACCUGACUUGUCUCCCCUCCUUGUCACAUAUGCUGAG